AAAACUUUCAAAGUAUUUGUGAUGUUUCGACUUACUAUGUCAUUCAACCACAUAUUGAAUACAUUUAGUUAUUACAAAUAUUACGUUCCUUUACACAAUCAAACAAUACAAAGUUGUAGAAAAAAGGUGUUAAUGUUUUUGUUGAUGUUAUAUUUAUUCUUGUUAUUUAUAUAAACCCUAUCAGAAAAUAAUACUCUACGAACAUCUCAGGUGAAGGGAAAAGAUCUACAAAGUAAUUAACCAAUAAAAAAACUAAUAAUGCAAUGAAUUUGUGUAGCUCUAAAACGGAUUUUAUUAUUCAUUUACAUUUGUAUAAAAUAGCAGUACAUGUAGGUCCUAUAUACAUGAAACGAAAUGCAUUUCGCAAUUGAUCAUUCAUGCAAUUUGUUGAUCAAUCAAUCAGUCAAUCAAUUAUUUUUUCAUUAAUGACCAAUGCCACUAUGCAUCUGGUAGGCCUAUAUCUAAUAAGUAGUAACUUUGUUGUGUUUAAAGAAAUAUAUUUUCUACAUCCAAAUUGCUGAGACGACACAGUAUAACGAUUGUGGAUAAAUAAUAAUCAAGUAAUCAUGAACAAUAAUCAAAAUACCAAUCUCUAUUAGCAUCAGUGGCGUAUCUGGGGUGGGGCGCAUAUACGCCCCUCUCACAAUUACUCACGCUCCCCCAGGAGUCCCAAAAAAAGAAUCACGGACAAGUUGUUAAAAAGCACCUAAAAUCACCUUAUUUUGCGAGAGAGCUCCCCCUCAACUGAUGAUCGAGCCCGGCCCAUUUCACAUUGGCGCCCCCACCCCCACAUCAGCACCUCCACUUUAAGACUCGUACGCCACUGAUUAAGAUCAGUAAAAGUAAUCAAAUACAGCAAAACUAAUAUUAUCAUUCUUAAUACAAAACAAACCAUAACUAUCUUAUAUCCAACUGCAUCUCAAUUAUAAUAGAUCAAACAGGAAAACAUGAUUAAUAAAAGAAAUAGCCUAACUUUAAAAAAAGGCAUACACAAAUGAAGGAUAUACCGAACAAUUUUAUUGGAUAAUUAAACUGCGUCGUUGUACAAGCAAUAUUGAACAAAUAAGCUAGCUAUAAUAGGCUACUUUCACUAUUGAAUAGGCCUAUCAGUAUUCGUUUUGUAAUAGUGUUGUGAUAUUAUAAGCUUUGUUAUUCAAGGUUUGUAAAUGUAAAUUUCAUAUGGAUUUAAUAAUUAUUUAAUUAUUAUUAUUAUUUUCAUCAUCUGAAUCUGAACUAGUCCUAGGCCUAUAUGACUAUCGCAUAGCAAAAUUAAGAUAAUAAAUCAAAUAUAGGUAUCACAACAAAACAAAUUCUCUUUGAUUUUUUUUAAUUCACAGCUAGAUUCAAUUUUAAGUCGUCCAAUAUGGAAAUAGCAGGAAGUAUAGUCUUACAUAAGACAAUAACAUUUCAUUAAAAAAAAGUUCAAUAUAGAUCAAAUAUUAAUUAAAAUGAGGUUAAAAAAGUCAAACUUAUAAAUUCUACAUUACUUUAUGUUGUUCAUUCACCGUACCGGUAUUUGACGGGUUUGACAUUUUACAUACGACGUAGCCUACUAUUGAUGCAUAAUUCAUAAGAAACCGCCUGGCGUAAUUUGCGCAUGACUGGAAUUAAGACUUGGCAGAAUUUUUGAGUUUCGACUUUCAUGUACAUGUUUUUUAUCGUGGUUUUUGUGUUACUCUGGUGAGUGUUCCCAUUGUACAUCGGCUGACAAAGUUUCGUAGCGCUCCCAAAAGUUGGUGACAAGGGAUCUAUGAUGCAUAGCAUAUGCAAGACAAGAUAAGACGCUAGAUUCGGAACCAGGUUUGUCCUCAUCAUCACCAUCCAUCUGCCAUCGCUUUACUGCACAGCAUCUCUGCAAAUGUUGUUCUUGCUGGUAAUAUAUUAUGACAGAUGGAGCCAAGCUAUACUGGACUGUAGCCAAGCUCUAUUGCCUGCCAGUUCACUACCAAGAACAUUUUUGUAUCGAUCAUCCAAAAGCUGGAAUGAACUACCACAAAAAAUUAAUUUCGAAGAGAUGUCUUUUUCAUUCCAAAAUCAUUUAAAAAUGACUUUUUCCAAGCCAAUAACUGCCUGUGUGCUCUGUGGUUCUAGAGAAAAUUGUUGAACUGCUGAUGCUGUUUGAGGAAAAAGAAGAAAAAUAAUACAGCCUGUUGCAAGAUAGAGGACUUAUUCAACAGGUGUAGAGAAAGGAAGCGUUGUUUAAAGAUAAGGGAAAUAU
rnacentral:lncRNA from 1 species